GAUGAACGCUGGCGGCGUGCCUAAUACAUGCAAGUCGAGCGAACGGACGAUAAGCUUGCUUCUCUGAUGUUAGCGGCGGACGGGUGAGUAACACGUGGAUAACCGACCUAUAAGACUGGGAUAACUUCGGGAAACCGGAGCUAAUACCGGAGAAUAUUUUGAACCGCAUGGUUCAAAAGUGAAAGACUGUCUUGCUGUCUCUUAUAGAUGGAUCCGCGCUGCAUUAGCUAGUUGGUGAGGUAACGGCUUACCAAGGCAACGAUGCAUAGCCGACCUGAGAGGGUGAUCGGCCACACUGGAACUGAGACACGGUCCAGACUCCUACGGGAGGCAGCAGUGGGGAAUCUUCCGCAAUGGGCGAAAGCCUGACGGAGCAACGCCGCGUGGGUGAUGAAGGUCUUCGGGUCGUAAAACUCUGUUAUUGGGGAAGAACAGAUGUGUAAGUAACUGUGGACAUCUUGACGGUACCUAAUCAGAAAGCCACGGCUAACUACGUG
rnacentral:rRNA from 1 species